rnacentral:rRNA from 1 species
CGUUAGCGGCGGACGGGUGAGUAACACGUGGGUAACCUACCUAUAAGACUGGGACAACUUCGGGAAACCGGAGCUAAUACCGGAUAAGAUAUCGAACCGCAUGGUUCGAUAGUGAAAGAUGGUUUUGCUAUCACUUAUAGAUGGACCCGCGCCGUAUUAGCUAGUUGGUGAGGUAACGGCUCACCAAGGCAACGAUACGUAGCCAACCUGAGAGGGUGAUCGGCCACACUGGAACUGAGACACGGUCCAGACUCCUACGGGAGGCAGCAGGG